UACGAAGGGAGCUAGCGUUGUUCGGAAUUACUGGGCGUAAAGGGCGCGUAGGCGGAUUGCUAAGUCAGGGGUGAAAUCCUGGAGCUCAACUCCAGAACUGCCCUUGAUACUGGCGGUCUCGAGUCCGGGAGAGGUGAGUGGAACUGCGAGUGUAGAGGUGAAAUUCGUAGAUAUUCGCAAGAACACCAGUGGCGAAGGCGGCUCACUGGCCCGGUACUGACGCUGAGGUGCGAAAGCGUGGGGAGCAAACAGGG
rnacentral:rRNA from 1 species